rnacentral:precursor_RNA from 15 species
UUCUACCGCAUCAAACCAGACUUUUCCUAGUCCCUGAGACCCUAACUUGUGAGGUAUUUUAGUAACAUCACAAGUCAGGCUCUUGGGACCUAGGCGGAGGGGAACCAGCAGCUUUGGAACU